UUUUUUUUUGGGUGUGUUGGCUAUUGACCUGAACUGUGAAUGGAGGAUGACACUCUGGAUGCAGUGGCGGGAGACUUGCAAUGGGCAUUAAGAUACUUCGAGGUUCAUUAUUGCGGGGAUCAAUGGAUACGAUGAGUUGAUGAUAUAUCCGAUUACCAUUCCAGUACAUGUACAUUAAUCUUGCAAUGUAAAGAGAAAAAUAUAUGUAAUCCGUUUCUUUUCCAAGUAAAUGUAUAUGUCUUGUAUGAUGGAUCUAUAAGUCUUUUAGAUUUCUUCAAAAUACGUUCAUGUUGCAUGUGCACUUUACUAUGUUUUAAACCUUUAGAAAUAAUUACAAUAUUUUAGUAACACGUGUAUCGCACGUGCACUCUACUACUAGUAAAUAUAAAAGAGUAAAAAAAUGAUCUAACGGAUGGAGUAGCAGCUAGCGAGCCCACAAGGAGAACCGGCUAACAAAAACUCGUACUAUAAUUUUUUGCUUUCUUGCGUUUCUCAAGUCUCAACGCCACGCGCGUGCUAUACGAGUCUUGCGAGCGAGUCCAUCUUGAGGCCGACUUCACCGUGGACUAAUCACUAAUGCGCGUGUGUACACUGUCUCUCAAGUCUCAAUAGUUGACUGAACUGCACUGCUACUUUGUUAGUUUGUUGAAACAAAUCAGCAAAAAAAAAUUUUGAAAGGAAACAAAUCAACAAUGCAUAAUGGACUGGCGACACGUCCGGCCUCUCAUCCCGUUGCCAAAUCGAUCAUGCAUCGACAGAGUCCUCUCCUAUAGGCCAUAGCUUCUCUUCGAGGUUUGCAGCAAAGGGAAUCUGUUCUCUGUUCAUACUACUUCAUACCCAUAGAUGGCUAGCUGCCUAGCAGCGGCCUACCAGUGCAAGCGCAUGCUCCACCAUGCCUCUGCCCAUAACCAAGCAGCCAUUGCGGCACACAGUAGCAUGUGACGCUACAGCCCUCACUGUCAGCGAGCUCUGGACCACCCCACUUCUUUUGCGCAGCUACUUGGCCUAUAUACAUGUGAUGCAUUGGUGCUCAUCGUUCAUCGAGCAUGCCACAUAAACAUAUUGGGGACGUGACAUUGACUUGCACGACGACGACGACUUUCUGAUGAUGCGUAUCGUCUGUCUCAAUAGGGGAACUGCAACUGGAUCGGAUUAGAAAUGGUUCAGAAUCCUAUCCUUGCAGUUGAAGUUCAGCUUCAGCAGCGGUGAGCAGCCUCAGAUUAGAACCACACGCCAGCGAGCGUGCUGUGAAUCUGUGGGAUGGGAGUUCUUGACAACCAAAAGUUUUGCGUGUCCACGUUUUUAGAAUCGGAGACGCGGAAGAUCUGGGAUUCCCUUGUUGCAACUUGGCGGAACGGAUCGAGAAGAUCGGCCAGUGAGCAGACGACGACGAGUGAGCCGUCAACACAACGGCGAAUUGAACGAAAUCAUACCAGCCGGCGCCGGAAAAUUUCAUUCAGUGCCAGUCGUUCUCUCUAUGCUGCCCCGCCAAAUGCACGCGCGCGCUAGCUGCUUCCCGGACCACGAUUUUUGUUGAACCAUGUGAUAGGGUUUCUAGGCUCCCAUUUUGUUUGUUCCAGACUUUCAGUGCCAGGAACUGAUGGUGAGGCGCUCGGGUCAGUAUGAAAGCAAUGAGCAAUUUUUAAUUUCCGGCACACGCAUCUACAUUGAGAUCGGAAAUUCAUUCCUUUUUUUAAAAAAAUACAAGCUGUAUGAGCAAUCGAAAUCAAGUGUCUUUUCUCCAUAGAAAAUAAGUCAGCAAUGCUCAUCAGUGUGUCUAGGUUGCAGAGAAACAUGUUGUGGUCAGGUCAUGUGAGAAGGGAAACCUUUUUUUUUAAAAAAAAAGAUAUGAAGGAAAUAUUUUGUGAGAUAAUGUGCACCCAUUCCGGAGACUUUUUGUUCGGUGCCGGUCGUUCUCUCCGGGCUCCGGCAACCGCACGCGCGCCCCCGGUGUCGGACGAUGAUUCUUGGAUCUCGAUAAGGUUGCCUUCCUUUUUAAAAAAAAUGGAUAAGGUUUCCGCCUCUGCGACCGCACAUAACCAAAUUUAUAUAUCUUCAGCUUGCAAGCUGAUCACAAAUAAAAUGGUAAAUAGUACGAAGUGAAGGAAGAAAUCAAAAAUAAAAUUUAUUAUUGCUUCUCUAUCAAUUCUUAGCAAAUAUAUCCAAAGCGACCACCUCCGGUGCCUUGCUUGCUAAGUGGACAGUCUCUCUUGCAUUCUCAUGUUGUAACAGCACAAAAAUCGUAACUAAUAUGCUCCCUGAAUGCUUCUCUUAAUGGCUGGGCACUUGGGGUCCGUAUGAAUGCACCAGAGAUUCCCGACGCAUGUACUACACAUUGAUCAAUAUUCAGGUUUGCAAAGUGCAGGUACUGCUGCCGUAGUGGAAGGUUAUUGCUGGUUUAAGAUCAGACACUUCAAUUGAUCCAAAUGUAGCAUCUGAAAGUUGCUGGAUUUAUUGUUUUAUAUUCACAUUAUUUGUGAAAAAUGCUAUGGGUCCAUCAACUAUCUCUUCAGCUGUGCUUGACAGUGAAUUUUUCUAGGCAUGGCAGAACAAAACCAAACAUAAACUAGGAGGAAAAACGCAUGCUCCAAGACAGCAUUGCCUAUCAGAAACAGUGUCUGAUUCAUUCACCAACUUUCACAUGUCUGGUCUCCAAAAACUUUAUCCAAUCAUCUUCAUACUUUAAACAAUUGUCGUCAUAAUCUCUACAAUUAAACAAAGCACUACUUGCCCAAAAGCUCCUGUUUUUUAAAGGGUUGUCCUACUGUACUGCAGACACUACUGCAUCACAGUUGCCCCAGUAGCUUUUUGUCAGUACCGACGAUCUUCAUUGCAUCAUAAAUAGUCGAGCUGUUCCUUCACAAGUUCACAGCUUUGAACUGCCUCUGUAAAUAGGCGCAGACAAUGCCAUGCAAGGGGACCAUGGCGCUGCAGAAGAGGAAGCUAAGUUAGAGCAACUCCAAAGAGAGUUGCUAUCCAACUUGCCUCGGUAAGAAAAUCAUGAUCUAACAGAGUUGCUAUCUGACUCUCCAUCCCAUCCAACUUGCCAAACUUCUAUUCACACUUGCCAAACUUGACAAGCCUUUAGCAAGUCAAUUUGCCUUACCAAAGUAUGGGUCACACGCACAGUAAUGACUAGAAUGGAGAGUGCAAAAUGGAGAGACUGUUGUAGUGCGAAAUGGAGAAUUUGUUGGAGUGGAUGGAGGUUGAACCUAGCUAUUAGGAUUUGGAGAGUGGGAAAUUGAUAGUUUGUCGGAACGAGCAACUCAAUAUGGAGAGAAAUUUUUUUACCAACUUAGAUAGAGAAUCAAAUGGAAAGAUAAAAAUGGAUAGUCUGUUGGAGAUGCUCGGCAUUUCCCUUUCUAACAUCACUCACGUUUAGUACUUGCGAGCAUAAGGGAGGAUGAAGACGACCCUUAACCUAUCCAUUUGUCACUUGGCAGGAGCUACUCGCUACCAACACAGCCCCUAAUUGGCCCUCCCAUCUUGUCGUGAGGUGCUCCAUCCACACAAGGCCUCUGCUUAUAAGGGCAAAGCUUAGGUGGAAGGUUGGCGAGGAGUGCCAGAAUGGAGCCUCAGCAAGUCGAGCUCAGCCACUUGGACGGCCGGGAUGCCAGGCCAGGCACCAAUGGUGGAAGAACUGGUGAGUUUUCUUCCCUGCCUAGUUCUUGAAAGAAACCUGACGAAUUCUUUCCUGAGACCAGAGCAGGAAUGCUCAGCAGUCUGAAUCCUGCAAAAUAAUACUACCUUUUGUUCAGUCCUGAGCUUUCCUUGUUCUUCCGCAACGAAUACUUCGUCUUCUUUUCUCUCACUGAAGUGAAGCAAAUGGUUCUUGUUUAGAUUCUGCGGAGGAGGUCGACGACUGCCCAAUCGAGGAGGUCCGGCUCACCGUGCCCAUCACGGACAACCCGGCAUUGCCGGCGCUGACGUUCAGGACAUGGUUCCUGGGGCUCAUCUCCUGCGCGCUGCUGGCGUUCUCCAACCAGUUCUUCGGCUACCGGCAGAACCCGCUGUACAUCUCCUCCCUCUCGGUCCAGAUCGUCGUGCUGCCGCUCGGCAAGCUCAUGGCCGCCUGCCUCCCCAAGAAGGCCGUCAGAAUCAGGGGCACCAAGUGGUCCUUCUCCCUGAACCCGGGGCCGUUCAACCUCAAGGAGCACGUCCUGAUCACCAUCUUCGCCAACACUGGCUCCAACUCGGUGUACGCCGUCGGCAUCAUCACCAUCGUCAAGGCGUUCUACCACCGGGAGAUCCAUCCGCUCGCCGCCAUGUUGCUCACUCAAACCACCCAGGUAGCAUAACCAGACUGGGCAUCUCCAAGUGAUGGUAAUUUUUCAGUUCAUCUUUUCUUCUGACACUGCCUUGAGUUCAUAAACUAUGUUUGCUUUCAGUUGAUGGGGUAUGGUUGGGCGGGCCUCUUCAGGAAGUUCCUUGUGGACUCCCCCUACAUGUGGUGGCCUGCAAACCUGGUGCAGGUCUCCCUCUUCAGGUCUUCACCACAUCCUCUUCCCCAAUCCAAUUGUUUCUCUGAUCAGUGAUCCCCAACCUGUUCUUGAGCUGCAAUAAUGAAAUAGCAACUCGGUUGAUUGCUUCUGAAUUUGACUCUUUUCAGAGCUCUGCACGAGAAGGAGAAGAGGCCGAAGGGAGGGACGACGAGGCUGCAGUUCUUCCUGACAGUGCUGAUCACGAGCUUCGCCUACUACAUUGUGCCCAACUACCUGUUCCCGACCAUCUCCACCAUCUCCCUGGUGUGCCUGGUAUGGAAGAACUCGGUCACCGCGCAGCAGAUCGGCUCGGGCGUGUACGGCCUCGGCGUGGGCUCCUUCGGCCUGGACUGGGCCACCGUCGCCGGGUUCCUGGGCACGCCGCUGUCGACGCCGGCGUUCGCCAUCGCCAACAUCAUGGCCGGCUUCUUCCUCAUCGUCUACGUGAUCGUGCCCGUGGCCUACUGGACCGACGCGUACGGCGCCAAGCGCUUCCCCAUCAUCUCCUCCCACGUGUUCAUGGCCAACGGCAGCCGGUACGACGUGAACAAGGUGCUCGACCCGGCGACCUUCCAGUUCAGCCAGGCCGGCUACGACGGCGCCGGCCAGAUCAACCUCAGCAUCUUCUUCUCCUUCACCUACGGCCUCAGCUUCGCCACGCUCGCGGCCACCCUGUCCCACGUCGCCCUCUACCACGGCAGGUCGAUAUGGGAGCAGACCAAGGCGACGGUGCGCGCGCAGAACGCCGGCGACGUGCACACCAGGCUGAUGAAGAGGAACUACGCCGCGGUGCCGCAGUGGUGGUUCCAGGUGAUGCUGGUCCUCGUGCUCGGCCUCUCCGUCUUCACCUGCGAGGGCUUCGGCCGGCAGCUGCAGCUCCCAUACUGGGGCGUCCUCCUCGCCGCCGGCCUCGCCUUCUUCUUCACGCUCCCGAUCGGCAUCAUCACCGCCACGACGAAUCAGGUUCACAAAUUAACUGCCUGCAUUUUUUUUCACAGUUUUACUUUACCUCGGAUGAAUUUUUAUCCUCUUUUUGACACGCUGUGGUUUCUUGAGCAGCAACCGGGUCUGAACGUUGUGACCGAGCUGAUCAUCGGGUACCUGUACCCGGGACGGCCGCUCGCCAACGUCGCGUUCAAGACGUACGGCUACAUCAGCAUGUCCCAGGCGAUCAUGUUCCUGCAGGACUUCAAGCUGGGCCACUACAUGAAGAUCCCGCCGCGCUCCAUGUUCAUCGUCCAGGUAUGAGCAAUCGACCAUUCAAUUCAAUUCAAUUCAGUCCAAUUUCAUUUCUCUCCGGUGAAAUUCGCGAACAAAUUUGACAACAUUUUGAUCGAACACGAACAUCACGCAGCUGGUGGGGACGGUCCUGGCGUCGUCGGUGUACUUCGGCACGUCGUGGUGGCUGCUGGAGAGCGUGCCCAACAUCUGCGACCCGUCGAAGCUACCGGAGGGGAGCCCCUGGACGUGCCCUGGCGACGACGUCUUCUUCAACGCGUCCAUCAUCUGGGGCGUGGUCGGGCCCCUGCGCAUGUUCGGCCGGCUGGGCCUCUACGCCAAGAUGAACUACUUCUUCCUCGCCGGCGCGCUUGCUCCGGUCCCCUUCUGGGCGCUGUCCCGGGUGUUCCCGGGGAGCGCGUGGGCGCCGUGGCUCCGGCUCGUCAACAUGCCCGUGCUGCUGGGCGCCACGGGGAUGAUGCCGCCGGCGAGGUCCGUCAACUACCUCAUGUGGGGCGCCGUGGGGCUCGCCUUCAACCACGUCGUGUACCGGAGGUACAAGGGCUGGUGGGCGCGCCACAACUACGUGCUCUCGGCGGGGCUUGACGCCGGCGUCGCCUUCAUGGGCAUCGUCUCCUACGCCGUGCUGCAGUCCAGGGGCGUCAACGGCGUCGACUGGUGGGGGCUGCAGGUCGACGACCACUGCGCGCUCGCCAGGUGCCCCACGGCGCCGGGAGUCCGGGCCCCGGGUUGCCCAGUUCACUAGCCGCCAGCCGGGCACUCGGCUGUCAUCGGUGUCGCAGUAGUAUUCUAGUAUAGCUAAUCCCAGUCAGAAAAAGAUUAGAGAAGGAAACAACGCGUGCAAAGGCAUGCUAAGUGUCCAGUUUCUGAUACAGUUACCAUUUGUGAUCUUCUCGACAAGCAACUGUAUAAACAGUCUUAGCAAAGCUAAUUUGUGAAGCUAAGAUCUUUUCCUUUAUCAAGUUGGAGUACCGUGUCUCUGACGAAGUACCAUGUACGUAUUGUCCGUAUGAUAAACUUAAUCAAACAUCACAGAAUCGUAAAAGCAAUCAACUUGCUGAAACCACAUAGAUUGGGUAAGAAACAAUAGACUGAGCUAGACGAACUUGUUUUGUUCAGAUAAUCACCCAACUCGAGCACGAAGCAUAACACAAGUACACAACCAAUCGGUUGGAAUUAAGCGAAAUCCCUCUUCACCUGACCAUGUGGGGUUUAGGUUCACUAGUCAGUAAAGACAAUGGAUGAAAGGUACCAGAUAUUUGCAUGGACAUACAUAAAGAACUGGCCCGCAAAAGACAUCUACUCCAUCGUACAGGUUACAUUAUAUGUAUAUUUCUGUGAACACCUGGGCAUCAAUUACUUGUGAGCACAGACAAAAAGAUUAACGGUAAUAACAUCACGGAUCACAGACAUUGCCCUUCAGGUAUCAAAUCAAGGAUGCUAAGUAAUCGACACUGUUCCUCCUAACGUUUUAGACAGUUGCUAAUCUGUUCCCCAUGGUAUGCUUACAGAGUUACCUUAAACCAACACAAUACCAGAAUUCUAUAUAAUGCCAAACGAAACCGUCAAUAUGACAUCUAGUCUGCAUCACUACAUAUGGGGGAAAAAGUUAAACCUCAGAUGAACUAGAAAACACGUACAUGACAUUAAGCUGGGUUCAAAGCUUCAACGCAGCUGCAUUUUCCUAGCAAUGCUGGGUAGUGGGCACCCUCUAAUGACAGGGAACAAGCAUGCAGAGAAGAUUGAGAUUGGUGGGCUCUUCUUGUCAUCCAUAUGGGUGAUACCGUCCAUAUCCACCAGCAAAGCUCCCCUUAUUCCCGUCAGGUGUGCUAGCAGAUGCAUAACCACCUAGAGCAGGAUCAUAUGCCCCACCAUAGGUGGCACCACCAAAGCCAGAACUACCAGGGGCACCAAAGCUCUGAUCAGCAUCACCACCAAAGCCAGAACUACCAGGGGCGCCAAAGCUCUCAUCAGCAACAGUGCGUCUAUAGCCACUCAAGUCUCCACCAGCAUAAGCUCCACCAAAACCUCCUCCAUAUAACCCAAAGCGACUGGGAUAACCAAACGAAGAUGCAGCUCCAUAGGCCCCUAAUCCUGCAUAGUAACGACCAUAUCCAACACCAAACUCACCCAUCCCACCGUAGCUGCCGAGCCUACUAGCGCUGAAACCUGCAUCGCUCCUAUAAGGACCAAAUCCACCACCACUGUAACUGCCAUAAGCAUUGGUCAAUCCACCAUAGUUAUCAACAGAAGGGUGGUCCCUAGAGCCACUAUCAUAUGAAGACCUAGAACUUCUACCACGCCCUGAUGGAGGUGGAUUUGAGGAUUUCUUUGGUUCUGCUUUCUUGAUCUCCACCUACAAACAAAGCAAAUGACCUAAGCCCUGUCAAAUAACCUAUGGGGCCUUUCUAUCCAUUAAGCAUGAUGUUCCAGCAGUCAUUGAGUUGAAUAGAAGAGUGCAUUUUAUUUUUGUUGAUGUUACUUCACAUAUUUUACGCCAUAAGUACACAGUGGACGGGAUAACCAUUUGUGACAUUUCUUUAAUAAACAGCAGACUCACCUUUGAACCAGCAAGAUCGAUCAUAUUUCCGUUUGCUAAUAAAUCAUCUACAACAUCCUCAGAAGCAAAAACUAUAAAUCCAAAGCCUCUAGAGCGUUUUGUUUCACGAUCAAACAUAAUCUGGUGGUCUACCACAGUCCCAUAUCUUGCAAAGAAAUUCUUGAAAUCAUCUGAUCAAAGGAAACAAAUGGAAGAACCAUCAGGCAAAAAUCAAUGUAAAACAAAGCUGACCAUCAUAUGCCAUGCUGAUACUACCAUUACCUUCAGUUAGUGCUGAGGGAAGCCCACCAACAAAUAUCUUUCUAGUCUUGAAAUCCUUAGAGCUAGACUGCAUUGCACCUUUUGGUAUUGUUCUUUUAAUCUCAACCUGGAGUAAACAAAUGGCAGUACUACUAAGUAACUGUCAGCUGUCAAUACGUGGGGGAUUGCAAAGGAAAAUGUUGUGGAUGAGGUAUGGUUCACAAUUGAAACAUCUGACAGGAAAUUGAGAGGUAAAUCACAUUUGUUAUAGCUCCAUUAAGUAACAAGAGCAAAUUGACAAUGACCCAAAAUUGAAUCAGAAAUACCAUUAGAAGUUUGCAAAUCCAUGAUAGAUACUGAUAUGCCAAUUGCUUGAAGUAACAAAGCAAUACAGAUAAACAUAGCCACAGUAGCAACAGUCGUGUUUGCUUAAAUGCAUUCACAACUAGAUAACCAAAAAAUAACAAUCGUACUUAGUAUGAGAAGUACUGCUAACUAUUAAAAAAAAACUAGGCACUUGAAUCAGAAGGUGUAAUUUCAUUUCAACACAGCAUCGUAAGCUAACACAAUUGAUGAUAUAUCCAGAUUUUGUAAUUAUCACACAAUGGACCUAAAUGUAUACAGAGUGCAGACAAGAAUUAAAAAAAUAGAGCAAUUCAACUACUAAAUGGUGACACAGAAUUACUGGAAAAUAAAACUUACUGGCUUUCCAUUGAUGACAUGAGUUUCCUCUAUCACUUUAUCAACAACAGCAGGGUCAGAGUAUGUAAUGAAGCCGAAACCCCGUGGCUGAGAUGUGUGCCUAUCUUUCAUUAUUACUGAAUCAACUAUUUCUCCAUACUGGCCAAAAUGCCUCACAAAUGUAGCUGCAACAGGAAACAGCAACACAAAAUCAGAAAAACGGAAACAAAGCUAAACUGAGCAGUGAUGUGAAUUGGUGCCACUAAGGAUCCUCACCGAUCCUUUUUAGUUCAAUUAGUACUAGUUUUCCAAAAUGUGUCCUAAACCUGAGAAUCUACUAAUCCUAAGAUUCACUAGUGUUCACACAUCAAAUUGCUGAACAAAUGAUAAGUAAAAUGGAAAAAAGGCACGAAUGGCAGGAUAUUGAUGCAUUCACAGUGCUAAAACAUGCCCUAGUCUAUAAACUGUUCCCAACGUUUAGCCCUAACCCCCUAUCUCUGGCACCGCACUGAUUACAAGGAUAAUGAGCAGAAUGGUUUACAAAGUUUAUAUAAGCACUUUUUCUUACAAAUUAACAGAUAUUUUCAUAGGAUGUUUCCAAUUCAUAGAAUUAGGCAUUACAUGUAAACUCAUUGGCAAUGGAAUAUAAUACACCCACACAAGAUCUUCAUCAGACAUAAAUGCAGAUAUGGUAACAGGGUCGGUGGCAACUUAAACAGAUUAGCUACCACAGUAGAGAAGCAUCAAAAUUCUUGUUGCCUAGGUGCACUGCGUGUAACCCUCAGUGAUCACAAGUCACAACACAGCUUAGAAUCCAUGUACUAAACACAGACCAUCACUGCAAUUUUUCACACGCUAUAGCUAACAAACGAGCCGAGGCACGGCAUCAUUGCAACACUGCAGGGAAACGCACCACACAUCCCAAUACCAACUGAAAACCGCCCAAGCAUACCGCUUUCUCCCACACCCACAGUCCAAGAAAACCCCCAAAAUUGCACAGCAGAAUCGCGAUCGCCGCACCCAAUCCAAACGGAUCACUACAAGCAUAGCACCCCAAAAUCACCAAAACGAAGGAAUCGAUCAGCCUACCAUCCGUGGUGUCCCGCGGCAGCCCCCCGACGAAAAUCUUCCUGCGAACCAAACGCGAACCAAUCAGGCCGCUAAACCGAGAUCCCGUAAGCUCUAGGGGAGAGACGGGGCCGGAAGCUCAUACCCCGGGUUGCCACCGCCGUCGCCGCCGCCGCCUCCGCCUCCGCCUCCGCCGCCGCGCCCCCUGGUUCUCGUCUCCGCCUUCCCCAUGGCGGCAGCGUUAGGGUUGCGUACGGAAGCUCGGCAGUUCGCCCUUGUGGUUUCAGGAUUUCAGUCGCAGAUGCCGUAUGAGCUCGCGGCUAAGGAAAACAACAGUGGGCUAGCCUGCGAAUUUGCAUUAGCGCUUAGCGGCCCGCUCAAUAAACGCACAAGGGGGCUUUUCUACUAAGUUGGCAAUUAUACGAGAUUUUUUUUAAAGAAGUAUACGAGAAAAACCGUCCAAUAAAUCAGGACUGAUGAUAUUGUAGGCCGUACUACUUUGAUCGGCCCAUUUAAUAGACGCACAAUAUAAAUUUAUUCCAAUUCUAGUUGGUUCAAUUUACUCCUAAUAUAAUUUGUCUUUUUCUUCGGUGCACAAGUGGAAUACAGGAACCUUGAGUUAAUAUUUUGUAUCCUAAGAUAUGUUAUAAAAAUAUAUCAUGAUUUUUCGUGAUAUUUAAUAAUAAAUAUAUUCUUGAGAUAAAAAAUAUAUGAAAAAAAUGAUGAAAAAAUCAUAAUAUAUUUUUUAACAUAGAUUUUGAUAUCAACUACCACUUUGCAAAACCUUGACUUAAAAUUCAACUUAUAUAUGGAGAAACAAAAUGACAAAUUGAAUUAUGGGGUAAAUUAUACCAAAUAACAUAGUUUAGGGUGUAAAGCGAACCAAAAAAUACUUUAGGGAAUUAUCCGCUAUACUUGAGGAAAGUAAUUUGAAUUUUUUUAAAAAAAAUUGUAAUACACUAUAUAUCUCUUCUGCCAAGCAACAUUAGAGCAACCAGUGGUGGACUUCGAUUUUACUAUUAUUAGUAGUCAAGUAAAGGUGAACUACAGUCACAAUCAUUGGGGAUGGAUCUAAUGGUGGGACGGCCGAAACUCAAGCCCUCCUACAGUUCCAGAUGCAAUGGAGGCUCCCCCCUCCCACCACCACCACCAACCUCACCCCACCCCAGCCUCUCGUACAUGUUUAGCCAUGUAUGAAGGAGAGGAAGAAGAAAAGUGAGUGAAGAAAGAAGAAAAGGACGAAGGAAACAAAGGAGAGGAGGAAGAGUGAGGAAGAUGAACCCCUCCUAACUCGUUGCGCUACAUUCACCGUUGAGAGUCACAAUAAGCACGUUUGGUUUUUUUGAUGUAUGUGCCCGCCAAAUCCGGGGUCGCCAAAUAUUUGGCGGAGCUUUUUGCCACCUGCCGUUUUGCCCAUCUGUUGGUGAUGGCUUCAAUUCAAACGUGAGUAUGUGAGAUUGGUCAACGCCAAUUAUUUUGUAGGGCAAGCAAGGGCUUCAAUCCAAACGUGCCCAAUAUACACUGCGUAGAACGUCAAGAUCAAGAAGUAACAAGAGUGUUCAGGACUGAUCUCAUCAUUAGCCUAACACUUUUGGCCUCGUCAAUGAGGAGCUAGCAUAGUGCUCUUUUGUUCUAAAAUACUAUUCAUUUUAGCUUUUCUACCUACAUAAUUUUUACUAUGCAAUGUCUACAUGUUUAUAAAAAGUUAUGUAUCUAUAAAAGUCAAAACAAAUAGUAAUUUGGGACUUUUACUAUGCAAUGUUUACAUAUUUAUAAAAAGUUAUGUAACUAGAAAAGUCAAAACAAAUAGUAAUUUGGAACAUAGGGAGUAAUAUUCUUCGUCAAUCACAUAGGAGCAAUCUAAGCGUCAUUCAGUUAUUCAUGCCAUCACAACCUAGUUACAAAGCUGCUUAGCAGUACUUGCUCUGCACUCUUUUAAAAAGCUUUUCUUAGAUAUGUUAAUCAUUGUGCACUAUUGCCAUCAAUCAAGGUAGAUGGACGGCUGCGGGUCAAACACAUAGAUCGGCUAAGAGGUGUUUGAUACAAGAUGCUAAAUUUUAGCAGUGUCACAUCGGAUGUUCGGAUGCUAAUUAGGAAGACUAAACAUGAGCUAAUUAUUAAACUAAUUGCAGAACUCUUGUGCUAAUUCGUGAGACGAAUCUAUUAAACCUAAUUAAUCCAUCAUUAGCAAAUGGUUACUGUAGCACCACAUUGUUCAAUCAUGGACUAAUUAGAUUUAAUAGAUUCGUCUCAUGAAUUAGACUCCAUCUGUGCAAUUAGUUUUAUAAUUAACUUAUGUUUAAUACUCUUAAUUAGCAUCAAACAUCUAAUAUGACAGGUACUAAACUUUAGUAGGGGUAUACCUAAUCAAAUCUCCGCGACGCAGCAACAACAAUUAUCCACACUAAUCACACCUCCUUGCCCUGCAUAGGAAGCUUCGUCCUUGGAGGAGUUGGUACACCACUCGCAGCAUAAACUAACAGACAACUUAAUUGAGAAUGUUGGACGUGACAGUUCCCGUAAACAAUGCAGUCUACAUGUCAAUGGAGUGCGAACGUACGAUGCCGAAACAUCAUUUGACAGAUGCGUUUGCACAAAAAAAAGAAGGGGAGCAAUGAAGGAGACAUCAUUCUCCAUGUCAACGCAGGUAGUUUUGCCGGCUACUCCAGAUUUUGGUUUGGUUCUUGCCAGAUACGGGGGGACAAGGUUUGUCUCUCGUGCGCACCCAAAUGAAGCAGGCCUCCUCUCAGUGGCACUUAGGAAAAAAAAAAGAACCAGCAUCUAACAAAACAAGUCCAGAUCUGGUCAGAAAGUACCAAAACUUAUUCACAAAUGUUUUCAGAACCUGCCAAGAUUUUGUAACUGAAGUUUUGGCACUUGCAGACUUGCAGUCAUCGGACAAAACACAGCUUUCGUCGCAGUCUUUGCAGAAAUCAUUGCAGAAAACCUGACGAAAUUCCUCCAAAAAGUUGCGCAGCUUCAAAAGCGAGGCGACGGCGACCCGCAACGCAACCGCGGGGAAGGGACGGGGGGACUCGGCUCGCUGGACACGAGAGAGGGGAGAAGAGGAGGAGAGACAACGCCAGGCGCCGAAUCGAGUCAGGGAAAGGCGAAGGCUCCCGGCUAGUCUAAUCGCGAACUCGAUGCGAUUGCCUUCCCUCCUAGCUCCCCUGCCUGCCUCGCUCUCCACUCCGCCGCUCCUCUCUCUGUGUGUACUGUGUGGUGCGUGUGUCGUGGACGAAAUCUCGCGUCCAUGUGGGAGCUUUUGACUUGAUCCAACCAAGAACGCGCCUUUCAGCCGUAAAAUACUAGCGGUCCUACCAGUUUCGAAGUCUGGUCGCGGUUUACUUUGCUUCCAUCAUUUGCUUUCCCAUUUCGCGUGCGCCUCGGCUUACCCAUUCUUGCUUCCGUCGGCUUGGUGCGUGUAAAUCCGAUCCGCUUGUGUCUCUAUAUCAUUGGGCCGUCUGAAGCUGAAUUUGGAGCUGGCAAUGUCCAGGGAAGAAAGGAGUAUUUGAUCCGACUUCCGUGGGAGUUCUUGCUGCUGUUCCGGUGCUGGGAUUGGGCGGAUUGGAGAGCGGCUGGUAUCCUGUCGAUUUCUUCGGGGAAGCUACUGUUGUUAUGAAUUUCUGAUGCGGAGUUUCGCUUAGGAUUUGGGAAGGAGGGAUCUUUGAUCGAUUUCUGCACUUCUCUUGGUGAUUCCUGUUCUUCUCGACUUGGGGAUUUCUGCCAAGGGGUGUUUCCUGGCUCAGUUGAGCAGCAGAGAUGAGGCUGACUGUUCGUGUGAUCGAGGCCCGCAACCUGCGGGCCAUGGAUUCGAACGGGUUCAGCGAUCCGUACGUGAAGCUGCAGCUCGGGAAGCAGCGGUUCAAGACCAAGGUGAUCAAGAUGAACCUGAACCCGACUUGGGAUCAGGAGUUCAGCUUCCUUGUCGGCGAUGUCAGAGAUGUGCUCAAGCUUGAUGUCUAUGACGAAGACAUCCUCCAGAUGGAUGACUUCCUGGGGCAGCUGAGGGUGCCAUUAGAGGAUGUUCUGGCAGCGGAGGACUUAUCGCUUGGUACCCAAUGGUACCAGCUUCUUCCGAAGGGCAAAACCAACAAGGCGGUCGAUUGUGGUAAUUGAUGAACAUUCAUCUAGUUUUGUUGCUCGUUUUUUUUAUUGGUUAUGUUCAGUCAUGCAUCUUUCUUUGUUCAUGUGAAUUCACUUUCUGAAUUUGCAUCAUUUUACUGGUUACUUAGGACAACUUGCUGUCAAGUAAGAUCUAGCACAUGAAUUGUAGUUGAUGUUGUUAUUCAAUAAAAGUCAUCAUCACUUCGUUUUUCAUUUGUUUUCACCUUGCAGGGGAGAUUUGUGUCUCAAUAUAUUUAGAAUCAGCCGGAGCCACACGGUCAUGGUCUGAUGAUCUUUCAGCUGAAUUAACUGAUAUAGAGAGAGACUACUCAUUGUCAAGCCAAAGCACAGCUCCAUCUAUUGCAUUAGCUUAUAGAGAAACUGAAACUUGUAAAGAAGAUAGUAUCAAUGAAUAUUCUGAUGGGUCUGAAAUCCCUGCAGAGGAUAAAUGUAGUGAAGUUACUGACAGAAAUCAAGCUGCUGCACAGGACAGGUCAAAAGAAAAUUCUAAUGCAGCUUUGAAUGGAGCUGAAACUUCUAGUUCUAAAACUGAUAAGCCAUCAUUUGUCGAUCGUGUCUGCCAAAUAUUUGGUAAAAAAAAUGGCGAUGUGGUGCCAACCUCCUCUGAAAUCUCCGAGGCUUCAGAACAAGUUCAAGAGGAACCAAGAGGAUAUGAGAUUCCAGUAAGCCAAGAUGAUAAGACGUGCCCAGAGGCUCCAUUCAGUGAACUACUGAAAUCUCUCGAAUCACGGCAUGAAGGAGUCGAGAUGCCUGUAAAUCUACCAGGAAUUCUUGUUAACCAGUCAUAUCUUGCCUCGCCUAGUGAUCUGAAUAACCUUCUCUUCUCACCAGAUUCAGAUUUUAAACAAACAAUGAUUGAGCUUCAAGGUUGUACUGAUUUCAAAACUGAACCCUGGAGGCUUGAUAAUGAUGGGGAGUCCUUGAAGAGAGUGGUAACUUACACAACGGCACCAUCGAAAUUGGUUAAAGCCGUUCGAGCAACCGAGGAGCAAUCUUAUUUGAAGGCUGAUGGAAAAGAGUAUGCAGUUUUGUUGAGUGUAAGCACCCCUGAUGUUCCCUGUGGUACUUAUUUUCGGACAGAAAUUCUUUUCCGAAUCAUGCCAGGCCCUGAACUUGAUUCUCAGCAACAGACGUCACAUUUGGUAAUUUCUUGGCGCAUGAAUUUUCUUCAGAGUACUAUGAUCAAAAGUAUGAUUGAAAAUGGUGCAAGGCAAGGCUUGGAGCAAAACUAUUCACAGUUUUCGGAUUUACUAUCACAAAAGAUAAAGCCUAUUGAUGUAGAAGGUUCUGGAUCUGACAAAGAACAGGUGUUAGCUUCUUUGCAAGGGGGCCAGGAAUCUGAUUGGAAGAUAGCAUUUCUCUACUUCUGCAACUUUGGUGUCUUAUCCUCCCUUUUUGUGUCUAUUUACAUUGUUCUGCAUGUUUUGCGAGUGAAUUCAAGUUCUGUUCAAGGCCUUGAGUUCCCAGGAUUAGAUCUGCCAGAUUCGCUCAGUGAAAUUAUCAUGGGUGGGCUGUUGUUUCUUCAAGUACAGAACAUACUUAAGAAAAUUACAUGCUUUGUUCAAGCAAGAGGACAAAAAGGUAAAAAAAAAUUCUCUCACCUUCCAUAACAUCUCAUGUUAUCUCUAGCACGAAAAAUCAGAAUAAGGUUUUGAAACUUUUAGUAGGAAGAAGUUCAGGUACACUUGAGUUUAGCUUGAAAUUUGGUGUAAACAAAACAAUGACACUCAACUUAUCUGACACCAGCUUGUUCUUAAGACUAGCGUUUAAGGAAUCAUAAAACUUCAGUUGUUACAGCUUUUUCUCAAUAAGUUUAUGGAACUAGCCGCAAUAGCUUGAUUUUCUUGGAAGAAAGACUACAACCUUAUGACGUUCAUGUCUUGUAGUAUGCUUUUGGAUCUUAUAUGCAUGAAUGUGAUUUAUGCCUAUUUUGUCAAUAUUUUUCCUCAUUUAGGUGGUGAUCAUGGCGUGAAAGCACAAGGUGAUGGAUGGUUGUUAACGGUUGCUUUAAUUGAGGGAAUCAAAUUGGCUCCAGUCGAUGCUACUGGUUUCUCCGAUCCUUAUGUGGUAUUUACUUGCAAUGGCAAAACAAAAACAAGUUCAAUCAAGUUCCAGACACUGGAACCUCAGUGGAACGGUAUGCAUUUUCUGGGUCUGUUUCUGGUUUCUUCUUAAACCCUGUCAUCUUCUACCAUAACUGUGUAUCAGAAGGAAAUUUUAAUUUGAACUGCACUAUUUUUAGUAGCAUAGAAGCAUUAUGUGUUUUGUUGUAUGUCAUGCAACAGGCAACUAAACCUAUUUCACUAAAUCUUGCAGAAAUAUUUGAAUUUGACGCCAUGGAUGAUCCACCAUCAGUGAUGAGUGUACAUGUGUAUGAUUUUGAUGGACCAUUCGAUGAAGUUACGUCCCUUGGACAUGCAGAAAUUAACUUUGUAAAAUCAAACUUGUCAGCGUUAGCUGAUGUAUGGGUUCCUCUUAAAGGUAACUUGGCCCAGUCUUGGCAGUCCAAGUUGCAUCUGAGGGUUUUCCUGAACAACUCAAAGGGGACUGGCAUGGUCACUGAGUAUCUGAGUAAAAUGGAGAAGGAGGUUGGUAAGAAGGUGAGAACUUUCAUUCCUUUCUGCUAUGGAGUAUACUGUUAGUGCAUGAUGUUCCCAAUCUGAUUUGAGUUACUGUUACCAGAUGACAUUGAGGUCUCCUCGGACCAAUACUGCAUUCCAGGAGCUCUUCUCUCUGCCAGCAGAAGAAUUUCUCAUCAGCAGUUUUACCUGUUACUUGAGGAGGAAAUUGCCUACACAGGUAAUCUUUUGAUUUUUCUCAUAAAUACUUAUAUUUCAUAAUAUACAUUGUAUAUUAUUUCGCAAUCGUUUUCCCUAUGGAAGAAUGCUGAGGGAUGGUACUUCCAAAAGUCUUUGUGUGCGCACAUUUUCUGUAGUAUGAAAGAUGAAUAGCUAAUUUAUACAUUUAUUUUGAAAAGUAGUGCAAAUUUCAGGAACAUUUUCUUGCAAUUACAUCAUUUGUGAUUUCAAGAUAGAAACCAACUGAAGAUGUAAGCCAGCAGUGCCUUGUAAAUUGAUUUUAUUAUUUUAUUUCAUAUCGUUCCUUCCAUGCUAUGUGAGUUAAAUGUUUAUAUGUAUUUUAUUGCUUUUGUUUGAUUUAUUGGAUUAACUAACUGGGUUCCUGUGUCCCCAAUGGUUCUGAAUAGCUCGAUACUGGUCCAGUCAAUUAACAAGGACUCUUCUACUUUUAACUUCAGGGUCAUCUUUUCUUAUCUCCAAGAACAAUUGGGUUUUAUUCAAGCAUGUUUGGGAGGAAAACAAAAUUUUACUUUCUAUGGGAGGAUAUUGAAGACAUACAAGGAAUACCCCAAUCAAUAUCAUCAUGGAGUCCAUCCGUUGUAAUAACUCUUCACAGAGGUAGAGGCAUGGAUGCAAAGCAUGGUGCAAAGAGCGUGGACAAUGGAAAGCUUAAGUUCUGCCUCCAGUCUUUUGCAUCAUUUAGCGUGGCCCAUAGGUAAAAUGUCCAAAUUCUUAAGCAUUUGGAAUAUGUUCCAUAUAGCUCUUAUAAAUCAAACUCUCUAAUAAUCUUUGUUAAAAUUAACUGCCUGUUUAAAUCAUCAAGUAUUCUGGCCUGUGUUUUUGCCCUGAUCCACAGUGCCUCGAUUCUUGAAAUAUCUUUCGCAUGGUUUAUAGGUUCUCACCAGAAUAAAUAUGGUCUGUUGCCCUCAUACAAUAAUAAAUAAAGUUUGUGCUUUACAGGACAAUAAUGGCAUUAUGGAAAGCAAGAUCUCUGAGCACGGAGCUUAAAGUACAGCUUGCUGAAGAACAGUCCCAAAAUAACACCCUUCAGAGCGAGGAUAGUGGGAUUUUUGUUGGUAUCGAGGAUGCCAAGGGCCUUCAGAUGACUGAAGUUUUCUCCUCAACCAUUUCAACCAAUGUAAGUUCAGUUAACUUAUACUAACCAUGGCAAAUCUGAAUAUACACCUGCGCCUCUGCAAGUUUAUUGACUACUUAUAUUCUGGUCCAUCACAAGAAAGUUGAAAUUGACAUACAUGUGUCUCUUGCCAGAUGGCCUCACUUAUGGAGGUGUUCGAAGGAGGUCCUUUGGAAAUGAAGGUAAUGGAGAAAGUUGGAUGUCAGAAAUACUCAGCUACACAAUGGGAAUCAGAUAAACCCAAUGAGUAUCAACGACAAAUUCAUUAUAAGUUUAGCAAGAAGCUGUCUCCCGUUGGAGGAGAAGUGACAGGAACACAGCAGAAAUCUCCUAUGCCCAAUAAGAAAGGAUGGAUUAUUGAAGAGGUGAUGGAGCUUCAAGGAGUCCUUCUCGGCGACUUCUUUACGGUUUGUAUACAUACUUGAAUCUUCUGUUCCUUGGCAUUCUGGUUGGAAUUUGCAUGCUCCCGUUAUUGUGUUUGAAAAGUCCCUCCUUUCUUGUGCUUUGGAUUAUGACAGAUUGUCUGCUUCCGUAUAUCACCUGGGAAGUGUAGUUGACCAGAACAAAAGGUUGAAUUGGUAGUAGUACAAUCUAACUGUAACACCAUCUAGAGAAAUUCAAUUCUAGAAAAAAAAAUUCUUCUUAUUGAGAAACUGGCCAAGCUUUAUUUUUACCUAGAUGUUCUUUAUGCCAAACUGUGUUACUGUAAUAGAAACACAUCAUUUAAACCAGCUUGUCAAAAUCUAUGAUUUUUUAACGAAAAGUCAAAGUCUCUGUUAAAUGGAGUAUUUUUUAGCUUAUAAGUUUAUCAUUAAAAAAAAUAACAGCCAUUGUCAGAGGGGAAUCGCAAACUUUAUCUUUGAUUCCUCAGAGAUAAGAAAAUAUGAAAGACAAUUGCUUCAUUGCAAGGUAAUAUCGAUUUGAGUACACCCUUGUCAAUUGGUCAAUGGCAUGAUAUUCCGUGAUCCUGUGCUGUAACAUAGUCAAGGGGUAGCUAUGUGGAGACAAAAAUCAGCAGCAGAUCCUUUCUAAUCAUAUGAAAGAUCAAACUCGCUUUUCUGAUUCUCUUCACAUUAGCAGAAUAAACACAGUAUGUUUGACCUGCUCUCCUCUCUUGCGUUUGCAGCUUCAUAUAAAGUACCAAAUUGAGGACCUUGCACCUAAGCAAAGGGCAAGCAGUGUUCAAGUUUCCCUCGGAAUCGAGUGGUCAAAGUCCACCAGGCAUCAGAAGCGAAUUGAGAAGAACGUUCUUUCCAGUUCAUCCGCUCGCCUGAAAGAGAUGUUCAACCUGGCAUCAAGGGAGCUCUCACAUGCCAGAUAGGACCACCCUUGAUCUCUCACCAUCCCUGUCCCUGUGCAUAAUACUGAUCAGUGACUGAACAUUUCCUAACACUGGCAUGGCCUGUACAUACAUUGCUUGGCUGAAGAUUACACCCAGACAGCAACAUUGCUUGGCUGAAGAUACGCCCAGACAGCAACUGAUUCUGAUUGUUGUGUUGGAAGAAUAAUGCGGACCACUACGGUCAAAAUUUUGGUGAACCUAUGGUGCCCAUCCUCCACCAGUUUUGUUGUACCUGGUCAAAUGUAGCUGAAAUCUGCAGAGGUUGCAGAACUUGGAUACCACACAAAGGUCUACCAUAUACCAGCAUAAAGCAUGAACUUGGGAUAGGAUAGCUCAAUAGACAGUAGCCUGUUAUCAAAAAAAGAAAGACAGUAGCUGAAUGUCUGGCUUGCAAGUUCUCUCUGUUGUAUUGCCCCAGAACCAGAUAACUCUGAUUCUUUGGCCACUUGUUGGACAGUACAAAUCCGAGAAUAAAGUGAUGGAACAAUAAAGCAGUGAAAGUUUACAGCCUUCGAAGGCAGGAAGUCGGCGUCGCCCGUUGUGCACUUUUGUCAUGGCGCCAGUUCAGUACAGUACAUCAGAACAGGUAGCGAUGAGCCGAUGACGACGGCGAAGGCCGCCCGCCGCCGAGUGAGAUAUUAUCCGGCCGAACGAGACGUGACACCGAACAGACAACAGAGCCCCCGUGCCCCGGCCAGCCUGAAGUGAAGCCCUGCUGAAAGGGACCCGGCACAGCACAGGUCUUAUCCAACCCGAGCGACGCGAAGCUGGACUCCUCCAUGUCUCCCUCCCGACGGCAAGGCAAAUCCAGGGGCCGAGAACCCCGGGACGUCGCUGGAGCGGUGGUGCCUGCGCCUGCCUUGCCAUUGAUGGCCUCCAAGAAAAACCGGUGGCAUGCUCGGCUGCUUCCUAUCCAUCCAUAUCGGCGCGAUCCGCCCGGGCCGGCGGCCACGACCAGCGCUCAAAUCAGGGCCGUCCGUCUUCCGGGCCAACGGCCUGUUUCGUCGUCUCCCUUGCGUGAUCUGGGCCGCGCACCGGAGAUAACACGCGCACGCGAUGCGGGGGGAGUUGCCGGUGGCGGACGCCGCCGCCGGGGUUGGGGGAGGUGGUGGGCCCCGGCGGACGGGCGAGCGCGCACGCACCCCCAUGUGACCCGCCAUAAAACUAUGCGAGCGCCCGGGGUGCCUUUCAGCGGCUUGUCUGCCCCCCCGGCCGGUUCCCCGGCAGAUGCGUAAAAGCUCUAGAGAUAUCCUCCCGGCUAGCUCCUAGCGGGUAGCGAUGGCGAUGGCGAUGCCUCCCUCCCCUCUCUCUCUCUCUCUCUCUCUCUGACUCUCCUCCCAAAAAUAUCAACCGUCGCUUCUCCACUAGAACAUUCCCCCAUUUUAUUACCAUUUCUUUCCCCCAACUAUUUUGAUUAUAUUUUUUGCAGAAACUAUUAUUCUAUAUACUCCUCCCAACACCUUUUGAAAAGGGUAACAAACUCCUACUAAUUUCAGAUUUCUUUUCUUUUAGCACAGAAAUGGAAGGAUUUAAUUCAAGUUAGCAAGUGUGCUAGUAUAUACUACUUGGAGUGAGUAGAAUAUACUGGUUGGAGUGAGAUAAAAACUUAAAAGGCGCGUAGUACUGUGUUUAAAGAGCGGAGAAAAGCAAAAGGGGAUCAGCUUUUUUUGCAUCAAUUUUUUCUUCUUCUUCUUCUCAUCUCUUCGCUUUCGAAAAGCCUGUACACGGUACUGCAAGUGCUACACCAUCGGAGCACGCUGCGAAUAUUUACAGACGGUACAGCAGCAAACACGAGCGACGAAAACGAAAGAAGGGGGAAAAAAAAAAGGGCACGAAAUGGUGGGGAAAAACGCAUGACAAAAAAGGGAAAAAAGGAGCUACUAAUUGGGAGCGGAGCACUAGAGCUAGCUAAUGGAGGAGCCUCCUCCUCUGCCUGCCUGACUGCCUCUGGAAUUCCUACGCGCACACGGCGGGGCAACGCCGAUCUAGCCCCCGGUGGCUGGAGAUCUCUCUCUAAAACCGGACGGCCGGGCCGGCCGCCGCCAGGGCCGGGUAGUCGUCGUCGGCGGGGGGGAGGAGGCGGAGGCGGCAGAGCGGGCAGGUGGCGUGGUCGUAGUCCAGCCAGGUCUCGAGGCACGCGCGGUGGAAGAGGUGCCCGCAGGGGAGCCGGUUCACCACCGACUCCGGCUCGAACCGGGCCAGGCACACGCGGCAGUCCGCCGCCGCCCCCGCGCCGCCGCCGACCCCGCCGCGGCGGCGCCCGAACCGCGAUGGACGGAACCGGCUCCGAAAUCGGUCAGCGAGGCUCGGCCCCGUGGGCGUGAUCGACACCACCGGGCGGUGGUGGUGGUGGUGGUCGUCGGUGGCGAGGCCCUCCCACUCCCACGGGGACGGCGCCGCCAGGCCCAGGAACACCAGCGCCGCGCGCACCAGCCCCGCCAGGAUCGCCACCGACACCGCCGUGUUGUAGAGGACGAACCCCAUCAGGCUGUCCUUGGGCGCCGGCAUGCUCGAGAUGCCCAUACUCGCCGGCCGAUCCGUCGGGCUCCCGCGAUGAAUUCCCGAAUCCCUCGCUGGGUUGCGGAUUUGGGGGUGGACGCCAGGGACCUGAUUGCAAUUUGGGAGUUUUUCGGGGAGGUGGGUGCGAUGCGGGAGGAGAAGAUUGGGAUGGUAGUGGUGGAUUCGAGUGGGGAGAGCUAUUUAUAGACGUGGGGCUCCGUUUUUCUAGCGGUGGGUGACGGCCUGACGGGUAAAGCAGGCGCUGCGGCGGCACAGUUACCGUGGGAGGUUACUGCGGUAAUUUUGGCAGCACGCCUAACCCAUGGUGGAGGAGUUUUUCUGUCUCUUUUGAGGGGCCAAGAGUAUGAAGGGAGGUCAUCUUCAAUCAAAGAUAGAAAGCAGUUCCUCGUAUUGCCACUACAUGUACGAGUAUUAGAUUUCUUGGAACUUCCUCCAAUGUAUGCAUACUCUAGAAGCUGCAGUAUAAGUACAUUAGCAACGAUUAAUGAGAAAUGUCUUAAAUAAUUUGUUAACUAAUUGUGGCAAAUCUAAAUACUUUUGCACACAUGUUUGGUUAAAGUUUUAAAAUAUUGUUUUUGGGCGUGUUUCUAUGAUCUGCAUCUAUCGUGGAGCAAGCAACAGGACCAAGUUGUGGAGCUUUUUGUCGUGGUUACUACUGUCAGCUCGUUGAAAUGGUCCAAAGCGUCCUAAUAAGGAAAAAGAAAGAAAGAAAAUGGUCCACGGCAUUGCACUGUUGUUACCGGAUAAGAUCAUGGCAGGCUGAACGAGACCAGACACCGGCUAAAAGGUACCAAACCAUUUAAAGCUGAUGUAAAUUGUUGAUAUUUAGUGAGCUGUCGCACUAGCGCUGUAGCACAGGCAACCAUCAUAGUCACAGCUAAAGUUCGUAAUAACCUCUUUCUCUUUUUUUGAGAGGGAAGUUCAUAAUAACCUACCCCAAUGCGAACAUGGACUUCAAUUUAUAGAACUCGAUCCCAAUGCAAUGUGAACAAGUUUCUCUUAGUUUGCUCAGAAGGUUUAUUCUUGAUUAGGGUUUGGUACCCAACUACUAGUGAGAAUAGCUUCAUCCCAUUGUGAUCGUAAAGCUGUGCUAUACAUGAGACUAGCACGAUCCUAGCUUCAGGCUGCAUCAACCGACGGCGACUGAUGGCUCCACCGCUCCAUGCUGCCCCCGUCAACCCGCUCGCGCAGCGGCGAGAGGCCGCCGGCCGCCGGAUGCUCGACACGUACGCGCCCGCGCCGUUGUCCCCGUCUGCCGCGAUGCCGCCACCUGUCCCCCCCGAUCACCAUCAGAGGCCCGUUCGUUCAAACCCGAGGCGUAGUUGAACAGGAUGAGUGGGGAGCUAAUGGCGCGGAAGCGCGCCCAUCAUUGCCGCGCUGAUGGCGAUCGAUCGCUCCGCCACUCGGCCGGGGAAAAAUCUUAACGCGGUUGGGGUUAGAUUUUGCUGCCUGUUUUUUUUAAUCCCUUUUGCUGAUUACUUGUAACUUUCGCGGUGACAUUGGCAAACUGGCUUUCUUCUGAUUAAUUAGCGAUUAGCUUAUUGAUUGGUGAUCCUGAGUUCUUGAGGCCCAGGACUCGCGCAAUUGGCCGGGAUACGCACCUCUCCCCGCUAAGCAUUGUGCGUGUAUGCUAUAUACUCCCUCCAUUCCAAAUUAUAAAUCGUUUCAAGAAUCUUGGAGAGUUAAAGCAUUUCAAGUUUGAUUAAAAUUAUAGAGAAAAUUAUAAAAAAUUGUGACAUAAAAUAGGUAUACUAUGAAUUCAUAUAAUUGAUGAAGAAUCUAAUGAUACUUAGUUAACAUCAUAAAUAUUAUUAUAUUAGCAUAUAAAUUUGGUUAAACUUGAGAUACUUUGACUCUCCAGGAUUCAUGGAAUGACUUAUAAUUUGGGAUGAAGGGAGUAUAUAACUAUAUAUAUAUAUAUAUAGAUAUAUAAAUAUAUAAAUAUAUAAUUGUUGUGUGGCGGGGGAUUAAGAAAUGCGUGUGAUUAACGAACAACAACUAAUCGACGUGCCAUGUGCCCGGGCGAUUUUAAAAAAAUUGUCACUCGCUGGAAUUAGUUCGGCUAAUAAGCUUUGCUCGGCGACAAGUGAGCCGCGGGUUCUUGCGGUUGAAACCUCCGACACGGCGAAUAUGUUCGCAUGAUCUGCACGUACAAACCCGACUAGUUUUAAGGCCAACGCUUGUGCCUGGCGAUAAUUGUGCAGUUUUUUUUUGUUUUGUUUAAAUGCUGGAGUUAUUGAAUUGUUUCGGGAAUGUUACAGGGGAAAAAGAAAACGAGCGAUGAAGUUUUAAACUUGCGGCUUUUGUUCGCAACCAGGCCUGAUGAUUGGGUUGGUUACCGUUGGGGCAUUCGUUAUCAAGCGAGAUCCUGUUGGGGAGAUUUUGCUGGUAUGGGCCGCGCAUGUGGAGGCGCUAAUCCGCAAUGGGCAUCCGGUGAGCAAAUCAGGGGUCAAUUCAUUGGAUCGAAUUAGGCGACGCAAGUUGCCGUUAGAUUAUGCCUGCUCUCCUGUCUAUUCGUGGUUUCUUUUUUGGGUUGCAAAUAAACUAGGCGACCCCAUCCAUCAUCUAGCGUAUGAAAUGUAUGAUGGAGCGAUCCACUGAUCAUCAUUGCAUAAAGCGCAUCAUUUAUCCGCCUUAAUACUCUAUCGUGUACAUUCGUGGACGGCUUUGGUUGCAGAGGAAUUAACUUCUUUUUCAGGCGUCACUAGGAACUGAAGUAGGAAAGCAUGGGUGUAACAUUCUCUCCAACUAGUUCAAGCUCCUCCAAAUAUAGAUGUGCCAAUUUAUUUUUAUUUAAAAAUACCGCCUUGUUUUCUGUGGCUGGUCAAGGGCCUUUCCUCGCGCCACGUAUGAAUACAGAACACCCUGUGGAGCACAGGAGCAGCACUGUACACGGCAACUUGCUCCGGGACCUCCGGUGUACCCAGCCCAGCUCGUCGCGGGGCCACAGGGCCCGCGGCGUGUAGGCACCGCAGCGGACUCCUGUUCCCGCAGUCCGCCGUGGCGGCACCCGCGAUUGCCGGCGUAUAGGGCCAGGGGCCCGUGGCCGGCCCCACCCCCGCAGCCCGGCGACGUGGGGCACCCCCGCUCCCACCCGCGCGCGGGGCGCCCCCCACACUUGUCGCCACGGCGAAGCUCGCGCCCAUGCCGCGGUGCCGUGCCCCGCCGCGCCGCGCCGUGCCCACGGUGGAGAGAGCGCGCGAGAAGCAGCAGGUGGGGAGCCCAGGGGACGCGUCGACGGGCGGUUGGUGGCGCGGUGCGCGCGUCCGCGUCACUCGUGGCGGCUCGGCAGCGGGGGGGCUUGGCGGGCCACAGGGCCAUGCGGCGCGCGCGUGCGACACUUGGACGGGCGCGUCCCCGUCCCCGUCCCGUCCAUCGGCCACCGCCCGCCGCUGUCUCGUCACGGGCUUCGCUAUGCUCCCGGUGUGGCGGUGUCCGCGCUUGCUUCACCUCCACGGUUCCGAGUUGUCUUCCGUUCCGUGCGAGAUCCUCUGCGGCUCUUCGCGCUGCCGCCGGCCGCGCAGGACGAUUGAUACCAGUGGCUAAAGUUUCGCCUUAUGGGUGGUAAUUAGGAUGAUUAAAUAUGAGCUAAUUAUAAAAUUAAUUGCAGAAUCUCUAGGCUAAUUCGCAAGACGAAUAUUAAGUCUAAUUAAUCCAUCAUUAGCAAAUGGUUACUGUAGCACCACAUUGUCAAAUCAUAAACUAAUUAGGCUUAAUAGAUUUGUCUCACGAAUUAGACUCCAUUUAGACUCCAUCUGUAUAAUUAGUUUUAUAAUUAGAUUAUGUUUAAUACUCCUAAUUAGUAUCUAAACAUCCGAUGGGAUAGACUAAAUUGUUUUGUAAUUUGAUUAUGUUUAAUACUCCUAAUUAGUAUCUAAACAUCCGAUGGGAUAGGGUAAAUUUUAACCCCGUGCAGCCAAACACCCCAAGUCCAACGUACCGAGUCGCAGAAAACACUGUACGCUAGUUGUGCUUUAGAAUGUGCGGACAGGACACCAAUCAAAUCAUCACCAAACAUCGUACAUCUUCCCUGAACAGACGAGUUGGCUGCCGCGCAAAGUUGCCGGGGAUGGAUGCAGCCAAGGCGCGGAAGAGACGACAGCCAGAGGGCGGUGCCAGUCUGCUAGGGCUGGGCUCCCUAGCGGUCAAGCUGCCGAACCAUCCAGCCGGGUCGGUCACGUGGAGCCGGCGUGCGUGACGCCGACGGCCGAUCGGGGCUGGUUGGUGGUGGUGGCGGCCAUGGCCUCCUGGCUCUCGUGCCGUGCCGUGCCGUCGUCGUACCCGCCUCCCUCGGAUCGGAUGGAGCCCACGGCGCGGUGAAACCAGCGGACCCCGCCCGGGCGGGGGCGGGGGACGGCGGGCCGCGUGAGCCUUGCCGCCUUGGGGGCGUGGGCUCACGUGGGCGGGCGCGAUCGGGAGAGCCCCUGUCCUGGCCCCUCGCGGAGCACCCGUGGCCCCGUGAUCCCGUCCCGCGCACGCCGCCGUCGCCGCGUGGCGUGCUACGUGUGAGGCGGGGAGCGGGGCGAGCUGGAGCUGCCCCUCAUGCGCGUGACACGGCGUACGCCCCCCACCCCCCCACGCACCCGUGGCAACCGUUCGCCGAGCUCCGCCCGCCACUGUCUGUCCACGCAAAAGGUGCGGUGAUUCCCUCAGGUCGGCUGGGUGGAUGCUCUGCCACUGCCAGUGUGUCAAGAUUUUGGGCGCGUGCGCGCGCGCCAACGUUUCUCCGCACCUCUGACACCUCCAGCUCUACUGCUCUAGCAGACUACUAGCGCGGACUCGGCAUUUGUUUUCUUUUGCCUUUUGGUCUGAGAUAAGCAACGAAAAUGAUUGUGAAGACUCACGUUGCUGGCCUAGAAUCGUUUAGGUUUCUACAAUGUUUUUGCCUUUCCUUGUUUCUUUUUUAAAUAUUUACUCUCCUACUUUCUCCCCUUGGAGAUUGCAUAUCUUGUAAGUUGUUUUAACUUUUCUACCUACAUAAUUUUUACUAUGUAUUUAGAUAUAAUAUGAAUUUAGAUGCGUACUGCGUAUCUAGAGAAAUCAAAACGUCGAACAAUUUGGGAUGGAGGGAGAGCACUAAUCUUAAUGGUGGCGUUUGUCAAUUGCUGUCUCGUCAGUAAAGAGGUCAAGCAAUCAUUCGGUGGCCAAUUCGACAUUGUGGUGAUAUAUCACCAAUGAUGUUCGGCCUGUUCGGCUGGACUUAUAAGCCGACUGAAAAGCUUGAAAAGCUGAAACGGCUGAUUUGUUGUGAGAGAAAAACACCGUUCGGUGGCUGAUAAGCUGAAGCAAACAUGAUGGUUGCUUUCGUGGUUAUUGAGCAAUUUGCCAAUAUGACAUCGUGUGAAUUUAUCACUGAGUAGUUGCUCAGUGGAUAUGCAUAUAACAUGUCAUGGCUAUGCAACUCAUCAUGUUUGUGUCGUUCACAACAAAAAAAUAAUCCAACGUCAUCCAUUAUUGAUGGUGCGUUCGUAAACCUUUUGAACUUGCGUGACGAUUCCAAUGGUGCUCAGUUGCCCUACGGGAUAAGCAUAUUGUUUUGUCUAUAGUAAAACAUAUGACAUAUGCUAGUUAUAGCAUUAUUUUGAUGGUUUUUAAGCUAUAUUUCACUCACUACAUUUAUUAUUGACUAGUUGCUGAGUGGAUAAAUAUGCCACUGCUAAGAAAACUUUGAUGCAAUGAGUUACGGAAUCCUUAUAACUUGGCUGUUGAUGCCAACUGUUCUUGGCGUGGCUUACAUGUAAGCACAUUAUCCUUUCCAUAAGAUUCGUAUGCGACAAUACUAACUCUAUUGUUAGUUCGAGGCGGGAUGAUUUAAACAUAUGUUUUUUGUGUAUUAAUUUCUAUGAAAUUGAAAAAAAAAGUUUAGUUCAUCACGAAAAGGAAAAGUUUUGUUUGGCUAGCGUUUGUACUUAAAUUCAUGGUCUUCAAUUUUCUACUGCUCUGAGUAAUUAGGGUGGCCACUUGUUUAAAUUGUUUUAUUCUAGAAAGGAAAAAAUUCAUUUUAUUUCCCUCACCUAUUUACUUUGUCCACUUAACCCUCUAAGCAAAAUUUAGGCUCACUUUACUCCCCAAAAUAUUUCAUUUGAUCCAAUCUACCCCUAAUUAGAUUUCUAUUUUUUGUUUCUUUAGGUACAAAUUGAAUUUUAAUUUCGGAUUUUGUUAGUUGAUUAAAAUAUGAUGCUCUAUGUUAGAAAAAUAUAUUAGAAUUUUUUCAUGAUUAUUUUUUCGUACACUUUUGUAUAUCUAAGAUCAAUUUCGUAUUAAAUAUUCCUAACCUAUAAAAAUAACCAUAAAAGAUUUUUAGUAUAGUUUUCUAAGGUAUCAUGUUUUGUAUAUGCUCACAAAAUUUGAACUCAAAAUUCAACUCAUACAUGAAGAAAAAAAAGAGAAAUCUAAUUAGAGGGUAGAUUGGACCAAAUGAAAUAGUUCAGGGAAGUAAAGUGAGCCAAAAAAUUGUUUAGAGGUUAAGUGGACAAAGUGAAUAGGUUCCUUCUAGAAAUAUAAGAUAGCACCAAUUGAUAGUCAUGUUUUCAAAAUAAAUAAUAGUUACAAUAAAAACUGCAUCUAGAAAGGACAUAGUUUUUAAAACAUUUAUGAGGAUAACGGAGGACUUUUCACAGUUUUCAUAAUUCGAGCACCAUUUGUUGUUGGCAAAAUAUGUUUUUGUGCGUAGUUGAUGACAUUGCUGCUCUUUUUGGGUUUGUGUGUGUGGGGGGUGGGUUGGGGUGUGUGUGUGGGGGGGGGGGGGGUUAUUGGGGUAGAGAUGAAGAGAAAUAAAUAAGUUUAGGUAAUGUAAUAAAGACCUAUUACCAUUUUUUAAUUUCCUAUUAUUUUAUUUAUUUGGAAAAAUAAAAAAGAAUAUACAGGGAAUAGAUGAAUUCCACCCGCUAACUGCCUAAGUAUAGCACAGUUACAAAUAAAGAGGAAAGUUUAGGUAAGAAAUUGCUGGAAAGGAGGAUGAUAUUCCCGAGCUCAGACAUUUUUUUUUUCGCCACCUGGACGCUUCGCUCCGAGAGUUUUCUUCCAGCCGAAAGAGGCUCAACCCGUGAGAAAGAGGUAUUCAUUUGCACCAGUCCGGAAUAGAGAUGUUCGCCAGUCCGUGAGUUGCUUUGCCCCUCGGGUCGGCUUGUGCUUGCUUUCUCAAUCCUACUCAAUCCUAACCCUUGCUUUCUCCGUGCCUACUCCAUCCGUCCCAUGCUUGUUUGCCCUAUCGGUCGGAAACAGUGGCCCAUCGCUAAUAAUAAGAAAACAACAAUGAGCCUUGGUGGGCCUAAUAGAAACUAAAGAUGAGAAACUGCUUAAGGACCAGAUAAACCCUAGUGGGCCAAAUGGGUUUCUAUCCACCUUUCAAAAAAGAAAAAGAAAAGAAAAGAAAGCAAAACCUCAUCAGAUUCAGGUAUACACAUGAAUACAGAAAAUAGUUAGUGAACAUUUGAAAACUAUAUAUAGUUCAAACCUCUCUGAAGAGAAUUUACGAUCAGAGUUACAGCUAUGGGAAAUAAACAAUGUUACAGCUUAAAAUUUCAACAAAAGAGCCCACCUUCAUCCUCUCACGUUCUUCUCCAUGCCGCCAUUUGCUGCACGUGCUUGAUUUGAUCCGCCAUCUCCAGCAGCAGGCCCGUCCAUAGCCGGCAAUGGCUCCAGAGUCUCGACGUAGGCAAAGGUCUUUAUCUCCUCGUAGUGUGGUGUGUCGUCGUCCAUGACUUGCUCCGCCGCCCCCUCCAGCAGCGGCGGCAGCCCGUUGUUGCCGUGGCGGUCGAUCAGGUUUCCGACCUUGCUCCGGUACAGCCGUGCCCUGCCCCACGACCGGCUCAUGGCGUACUCCCCGUCAGGUGCGGCGCCGUGAUCCAGGGCCCCAGGUGCCGCGGGGCUCGGGGAGCGUGCAGCCUCGAGCCCACCGCGGCCGCCCUCCGCCGCCGCCGCUCUCUCCAGCACCCACACCUCCACCCCGGUCCACGACGUCGUAGCGGCGAUGCCCAGCCGCGCGUGGACGCUUGUCAGCCGCCACCCGCCUUCCUCUCCGGGGUCAGACCACGCCGGAGAGCCGGCGGCACGUCGAAGCACGUGACGCGCUCGUCUUGGAGGACGAGCGCCAUGACCCUGUCGGCGAGCGCGUCGAGCCAGUAUGUGAACCCGUCGACGCUGACCGCUGCGCAGGAGUGGUGGUAGCUCGCGCCGCCGGGGGUGGUCACCGGCACCUCCCGCCACGACGUGCCGCCGCCUAGGGUGAACACCCACACCGCGCCGACCGCCUGGUCCUGCCGGCACGGGAUGUGCACGACCUUGUACUCGCCCGUCGUCGGGUGGUAGUACAUCCCGAACGCCUUGAACUGCUCCCAGUGCCUCUGCGUCGGCGCCGGCGGUAGGAGCUGCGACUCGCCGGUGAUCGGGUUGACCACCGAGAUGGCGGACAAGCUGCCGGCGUUGACGCCGAACGCCGAUCUCUCGUGGAGGCAGAGCAAGCCGUUGCACGUGCCGACUAGAUCGUAGCGGAGGUCGUAGGAGCACGGGUACGUCCACGCAUGGCACCUGCGGCUGCCGUCUUCGCCAUCGAAGACGACGGCGCGGGAGCCGCAGCUUUCUGCGAAGAAGGCGAGGGUCUUGGUGCGGGCCUGCCGCUCCGGCGUGUGCUCGUCGACGAGGUCGCGCCACCGCUUGCAGACCAGGCGAAACCGCCGCCGCGAGCUCGUCGGGAGGAGCAGCAAGACCUGCACCAAGGCGUCGUCCGGUAGACUGAAACCGUCAUCCGCCAUUGCGCCUGCUUAUCGCUAGUAGAUCGAUCCGGAGAUCUAAUAAAAUCGUGCCGAUUAUAGGAGAUGGAUAUAUUUCCUAACCGAACGUGAUGCGUUUGAAGACAAUGUGCACGUUUGGAAAACCGCACUUUUAUUCGAACUAGUGUACAACUCGACAACUCGUGCUAACGCUGCGGAAGCAAAGGAUACACGUAUGCCAAUAGUAUGACAACUCGUGCCAGCGUGACUUUACAUGUAAGCACAUUAUCUUUUCCAUAAGAUUUACAUGCGACAAAUACCAACUCUACUGUUAGUUUGAGCAGGAAUGACCGAUAAUUUACAAAAUAUGUUUUUUUAGAUUAAAUUCACUCUAUGAAAUUGAAAUUUUUUUGGCUUCCUGCGAAAAGGAAAAAAUUAUGUUUGGAUAGUGUUUGCACUUAAAUGGACCCUUCUAUUUUCUUCUGCUUUGAGUAAAUUAGGGUGGGCGUUUAGAUUGUUUAAUUCCAGAAACAUAGAUAGCACCGCAAUAACGAUAGCCUUGACCUUGAGUACUUGGUUCACGUCUCCGAGAAAAAUGAAUAGCAACAGGAAUCGCAUGCCAUCUUUUCUUCUAUACUGUAAAGAUCGAAAAUAAUUGAAAAUCUUUCUCACCUAAUUUGAGUGCACCGCAUCCUCACGCUGGAUCCACCUGUCAGGCCUCAAAGAAGGUCGGAGGAGGUGCAGGCCCAUAAAAUCGAGAGUUUUAAAAUGUUUCAGCCAAACAGCUAUUGUUUUUUUUUGCACCGAACGCUGUCCUACCCACCCCUGUACCCGCCGCGCCUAUUGUUUUUUCUCCGCGCGGUGCCGUCCGCGCUUCCCCUUCCCUUUCCCCGGCUCCCCGCCAGCAACACCCUCCGCCGUGCUGCCCGCGCUCGCCUUGCUGCUCCCCCGCGAACCUCCCCAUCUGCCAAGGCCAACCGCCGGUCACCAGCAGUGCCGUGUCCCGCGCUCCCCCUCCCGCACCCGCCCGACUCGCUGCCCGCACUCGCCCUCGGCCCUCGCGCUCCCUCGGGGCCGUGGCCGAAGUUGGGGCCCCGUCGUUAUCUUCCUAAUGCGGUGGUGGCGCCAGGUCCACCUCCAUCUCCCCUGGCGCCUUUCCCUCCAACGCCCCGAGGCGCGUUCCCCCUCUCUUCCCCUCCCCAUCUGCAUUGCGACGUCCUCCCCAUCGUCGCUCCUCUCUGCGCUCCCAUCCUCCGAUCCUCGGCGGAGUGCGAGCACGCGGGAGCCAAUGGCGGGGGUGGAAUUGGAGCAGAGCACCUACGCCGACGUUGGACUGUGUGAGCUGCGCCGCCGCCCCCACCGCCCGUGCAGGUCAACGCAGAGGAGGGCCAGCUGCUUUUGGCGGUGUCUCCUGUGAGCGCGACGAGCGGCCAGCGGGGAUGCAGGCCGGUGGCGUUGGCAUGGCUGGCGAUGACCUGCUUGCUUCAUGGAGAAAAAAACUGGGAGAUGAGAUUUCCACAGGGAGACGAGAUUAGAGAGAGGCGUGAAGGAGAUGAGUUGCCAACAAAUACUAAGGAACGAUUUGUUUUUUCCAGACUCAAGACAAAACUAUCAUCCUCCACAACUUCUGUUGGUGGUUUUUCUCUGAAGGAAAAUGCAGCUUUGCAGCACACUAAUUCAUUGGCAAUUUCGCGUUGAAGUUUUGAUGUUCUUUUGCUGGCUUGUUGAAUGUUUGAUUGUUCUUAAUUACUUUAUCUUUGAUGAAGGCAAAAAGAGGGAGUAACUGCUUGGUGGUGGAUAGGAGGUGACUCUCUUCUCUUCUGCCUGAGGAGAAAUUCUAUUGAUUAACUGUAUCGAUAGAUAUUUUAUUGUUUUAUUUGAACAUUCAUUAAUAAUUGUGAUGACAUCAAUACAAAUUAGUCAGUUCUCAAGCCAUCUUUAAACUUACGAAUUUUUGACUCUCUCUCUCUAUAUGGAUGACAAAGCAAUAACCUUACGCUAUCCUAGACAAACAAUUACUUCUAUAAUAGUUCAGUGGGAACCUGAACCCUCUAAUGAGGAAGAACAAUGCAUGGUUGGCUGGUCUUCCUUUGCUGGAUGCAAAUGCGAGGUUUUUCCAAUUUUCGUUGAUUAUAGUCCAAAUAAUUGAUGGCAACUUUUAGUGGUAAUGAUUAAUGAAUCUGUAACUCGGACAAUCACACUAUACGAGGCCAUGCAUUUCCAGUGGCAUCCAUGUACACACAUUGAUGACCAAGGUAUGCAUUAACCUAUUACUUCUAAAUAUUUGUUAUUUAGAAAAUAAAUAUAAACCCCUAAUUGUAAUAAUAAAAAAUUGUUGAUUUGGUUGCUAAAUUUUUAAAUACCACGUGCGUGUCGCACUAGUUUAGGUAAAGGAAUAGGUUUAUUGAGCCUCUGCAUGAGUUUUGAGCCAAGGGUUUUAAAUCUGUACCGUUGAUUGUAUUUCGAAAUUAAAAUAAUGAUUAUAAGCAAAACUGCCUAUUGAAAGGACAUAGAUUCUAAAACAUUCACGAGGACAACGGUCUUUUCAUGAUUUGCAUAAUCCGAGCACAUAUGUUGCUGACAUUAUUUUUGGGCGUGGAUACUGUUUUUUUAUUGGGAGUGGAUGCUAGUGCACAAGCGGUUGAAGUCUUUUCCCCAUGAUAAUACAUAAUUAGAAUUUACUAAUGGAUGGAGGAAUCACGUAUUUCACUCAAUUUGCGGACUUGAUGAGGACAUUAAUUAAAAACACUGUGGUCAGAAGAAAAAAAAUCAUGAUUUAUGUUCUACGUCAAUUUUACAUCUAAUAUGUUAGCAUGUGUGCCAAAGCAUUAGUUUGUCUACCUGAGGAAUUCAAAAGUUCAGAAAAAAUCCAUAUAGUAAAACAUGUUCGCUUAAAAAUAUUAUAGCACAUAUAUGGUGCUUUUGCUAAUAUUUUGCUUGCGAACAUAUUCUAUAAUGCUACACAUUUAUAAGACUCCAUUUCUAAGAAAAAUAACUCAUCGAAUUUUACCAAAAAACAAUUACAAGUCAUUAAAUACAACAAUUCACCAUCUCUUUUGGCAAACGAUCAUAUAUUGGAGUAAAGCAGAUCAGCACUCAGCUGCAAACGAAGUGAUAUCAACUUUACAAUUGAUAUUGUACGCUGGAGAGUUCGGUUGCUGUAAAAAACACUUUGAUUAUUCCCCUUAUCAAUGAUAAUUAAGUUGAAUUUCGAUUUUAGUAUUUCCCUUUCUAGCUUAUUUAACGAACAACACUCAGAUGAGUGCGUUUCUAUUGAUAUAGAAAAAAAAUACAAGGUUAUGUCCCUGGAAGGCCAUAACCAGGCAAACAAAAAAAGAAAAAAAAAGAAAAAAGCUAUGAAAACACAGCGGGUUGGAUUGGGACAUCAAUACGCGCCGAACUCAACUCAUCUCAAACAACUCAAGACUGUUAGAUUGGGACAUCGACGCAAGCCGCAGAACUCGUCUCCACGAGACAACUCUGCCCGUUCGGAUUGGGACAUCGACACGAACCUCAAUAACAACUCUGCCCGGUCGGACUGGGACAUCGACAUGAGCCUCUAUAAACCUACCCGGUUGGAUCUCAACUCGCAAACGCCUGACUAAAUGAAGAACUCGUCCGAAAGGAUGAAAAGACCAUGCGCCAAUGACAAUAGACAAUCCGUCGAGGGGAAUAACCUAGCACCAAGUCGGCCGCCGCAAUGCGUGACCGAUCGCCGCCAGGCCAACGUGGAGUUGCAAACGCGCUGCCAAACUCCAACUAGGCAGCACUCCCCUGGAACGUGUGGAUCCCGAAUGUCAAUACAGGCAAAGGUUGCGGGAGGAGAGGGUAAGAGAGAAGAGAGAUCCGCUCGUCCCCGCGUAGAACCCCACCCUCUUGAUAGCCAAGAGCACCACAAUACCGAAGAGGAGUCGCCGGAAGAGGCCGGGAUAGGUUCUCCACAAACGACGUUUCCAAGGAAGGAACGCCGCCAAGAGCGCCGCCACCUGCUUGAGAAAACUCAGGCAAGGUUUUCACCGGGAGAAACCUGCCAGGGAGAGGAGGGCACCUCGACAACACCCCCAAGAGGGAACACGGUGUCCGCAGAACGUUGUCGUUGUCGGCCCAGCCCGAGGACGAGCAAGACUUUCGCCUGGAAGAGCCCUCAUCCCACAGCCGCCGCAGCCCCAACGCCCCCAAGACACCUAUGCCAGCCGCCCAUCACACACACGGCAGCCACCACAUCCAUUCUGAGUCAUCGUCCAUCAUUGCCACCACACCGCAACCCUCAGUCACCACCGCCAUGCGUGUGGCCACUCCAGCGCCCUCUGCCGCCGUCUCUGCCACGCCUGCGCCGCAAAGAUGGCCCUGCGCAACCAACCAUGCCACCAUGGCACCGUUGGCACGCCAUUGCGCAGGCCAGCGCCAGCCAAACCACCAUGGUGUUGCUGGCGAGACUCGCGUGAAUCACACUUGGCUACUCUACCACAGUGCCUCCAAGCCACGCAGAGCCUCAUCCUUGACAUGCCGUCGCGGACAGCCACGUCGCACACCACCGUGCCACUCCCAGGUGCGCCGCCUGCACACCUGUGCGGCCCGCAGCUGCCGCCGCGUGCUUCUUCCGGCUGCCACACGCGCGCCUCUGUGGCUCGCACCGGCCGCCUCCGACCUUCAUGCGCUCACCUCUGCGCACCACCGCAGCCCCGCGCCGGCUGUCGCCGGCCUUCACCCGCGUGCGACCGCCACCCACCGGGACUCCGACGGCACCCAACACCUCUGCCGCCUCACGCGCGCACGGGCCGCACCGCCAACGGAUCUGGUUGGCACCGUGCCCAAUCCAUGGCCCCUCAGCCUCUGCCACCGUGGGGUGAAGCCCACGGUGGCAGGCUCCCUCAGGUGUCUCAGGUGGUCGCGCCUACCCAAAUCCACCGAAAGAUGGGGAAGGGCCCCCGCUGCCACCCUCCUCGCGAGCCGCGUAGGCUUCCGGUGGCCCGCUCGGGCCGCGGCGUGGCGAGAGGAGGUGUCAGGGAAGGGGUGGCGAUAGGGUCCUGGGGCUGCCUGAGUUGCCCACGUGGGGGCGACGCGAGGGUUUAUCGGUUCCUUUUAAGAGCCCCCCUUAGGGAUAGCGUCCCACGAGGAACUAUGCAACAUCAACUUCCACCGUCCUUCCCCACUAUCAAAUCUCCAAUCGCACUUCAUAAUAUCGCCAACCUCGUUGUCACCACCGCAUCCAUAAAACGCUAAAGGCUCCAUGGUUUCAACAUAGGCGAACAUCCGAAGGCUGCGACAUUUGUCGUACAGGCUGAUUGACAGUGGCGGUGCGGCCUCCGUCCUCACCACAUGGCCAUGCUUCUCCACCUCACUCAGGGGGGACGCGUGCAAGCUCACCGAGUCGUACUCCAUCGUCCGGGUGGUAAGGAGAUGCUCGCUGUGGGCGGCAUACGGCCAGGCAAUCUCUUGAAGAGGCUUCUGCCCUUUUUCGAUGUACGGCCAGCGAUCUCUUCAGGCUUCUGCCCUAGUUCUAUAUAUACAUUCCAUGACACGCCGCCGCCUAGGGUGGACACCCACACGACGCUGGCCGCCUGGCCCUUCCUGCACGGGAUGUGCACAACCUUGUACUCCCCCGUCGUCAGGUGGUACCAGAAGCUGUACUUCCCGAAUGCCCUGAACUGCAUCGGCGCCGGCGGGAGGAGCCGCGACUCGCCGGUGAUCAUGGUCACCGAGAUGGCAGACUUGCUGCUGGCGUUGAUGCCGCACGGGGUCCUCUCAUGGAGGUAAAGCAAGCUGUUGCAUGUGCCGACUAGAUCGUAGCUGCGAUUGUAGUAACACCAGUACGUCCACGAUUGCCGCCUGCGGCUGCCUUCUUUGUCGUCGAAGAUGACGGCGUGGCUGCAACCGCGUCCGGGGAAGAAGGCGAGGAUCUUGGUGCGGAGCCGCCGCUUCGGCGUGUGCUCGUUGAUGAGCUCGCGCCACCGCUUGUAGACGAGGCGGAACCACCGCCGCGAGCUCAUUGGGAGGAGCAGCAGGACCUGCACGAGGGCGUUGUGAGGCAGAGAUCGAAACACUCGUCCACCAUUGCGGCGUCAAUCUCUGGUCGAUCGAUCUCUCGCGAUCCAACUUGAUCUUGUUGUGUCAUGGUCAGUUAUGUAGGGAUUGAGAUCGACCUUGUAUGCAACGUGGAACGGCUGGUCUCCUGAUCAUACGAAUGAUUGUGGGGUUCACACGACAUGAAGGUAUUUUAUGUCGCUACUUCUCGUGCAGAAAAGUAACGGAAGGGGCCGCGUUUAAGGGUGAUGCAUUGUAACGUUGGUUUACUUGGGAUGGGACCCACUGACCACACAAGGAGCUCACCUUGUGCUCUCAGCUAUUCCCAUUGUGGAGUUUCAUAUUGCGGUUUCCAAGAGUGACAUGUCAUCCAAAUUUUUUUGAGGAGAUGAAUGAAAAGGUCUUCCAAUGCAGAGUUUCAUUUCGUGGUUUCAUAGGCCGGACAUACCAUUUAAUUGUAAGGCAUGUGAUUGGAUGUGAUGAGAUAAAAUGAAACUUUCUAGUCCCCAAUGCUAAUUUCAUCAUGUUACAUAGUCUUGGAAAAAGUGUAUACGGAGUUUCAUCCUAAUAAAACUCAUUCCCUCUCUUUAUAAUCCGCAUGCCAUAUCAUUAAAAUCGCUGAUGUUUCGUAUCAUUAAAUAAGAAUAAAACUCUUAAAAAACUCCCAGCGAGAAUAGCCUCAGGUCCACGAUGUUAAAAAAAUGGUAAUGAGCCGGGCAUCCGGACGCGCGGUUCCCCUGUCGGACGGCUACGUGGCCUAUUCUCAUCCAAACGUCUCCCAAUCCUUAUCUUCUUCACCACCAUCCAGACUCCCACCUGUCCCACACGCCUCUCUCUGACUCUCUCGCUCUCUCACUCCUCUGGCAUCUCUGUGGUGGCGUUUGCAGCUGCCUCAUCGGUGGUGGCGCUCGCCCUCACCGCCCCCUCCCCCACGCCGCGCUGCCUCGUCACCUCUCGUGGCGGUGCUCGUAACUGCCUCCCACGCACCGCGGAGCCUCGUCGUCACAAUCCGGGCACGGGCGUGCGGUGGGGCCGGUAGCGUGCGAGGCUGGCAGGCACGGGCGCGCGACGGGGUUGGCAGCGCGUGAGGCUGGCAGGCAGGAGCGCGAGCGGCGGGGCCGUCGGCGCGCAAGGGUGGCGAUGGCAGUGGCCGGCAAGUAUAGAGUCACGCGUGGGCAGAGGCACGUGGUGACAAGCCGGCGGCAGUGGCAGCGACGCGGGCACAGGUUGCGGCGCGCGUGGAGGGCGGCGGCGGUCGGCAGGCGCGGGGGAAGACUCCAUGGUGGCCGCUAUCAUGCUCCAGGAAGAAGAAGACUCCGCCAUGAGAGGCACCAACCAUCCAUGUAGCAUCGAGGUUUUUUGAUGUUGCAACAGGUAUUUUGAGAUGUUUUGAGUAGUGUUGGCUCAUGUCGCAAGAUUGAUUUUUAAGAUGUUCUAUACUAUGCUCGAUUUUUUGCAGCGGUGACUUUUUUAUGUUGCAUGGUUGAUGAUGAUUUUUUUGACGAAGGUUGAUGAUGAUUUUAUUCUGGUUUCGAGAUGUUGCAACUGUAAAAUCGAGAUUUUCCAAUAGAUGAUGUAUGAUGUUAUACAAGGUGUUGCGAGAUGUUUUGGAUUAAACGAAUUUUUCCAAUUAAAUGUUGAUCGAAACAUUCACAACUAUUGCGAUGACCUCUUUUAUGUGUCGAACUUUAUUUCCAGAAAUUUUAUUCUUUGCAUGUUGGAUGCAACAUGUGACGCGUGUUGCAGCGGUAUUUUUUCUGCUUCCCAACCGUCCGAACACUAGCGCCCUGGAUCUCGGGCGCUAGCAGUCCCGUUAAGAAAACCAAUCAAAAGCGCCUGCUAAACGUUUGCGUUGUACAUUGUCUCAUAUCUUGUCCUGCUACAUCUCAAAUGUUCACUUCGCAAGGCAACUGUACGCGAGCAAAGACUCCGUUGUCUCCACGUACGAGAAGACCCGGACGCUGUCGCAAUCGUACUCGCCGACCACCGUCCUUGGGCUCCGAGCGGCGACCGGCACCACGCCGCACCGCAGGGCCCUGUCCUCCCUCGGCCGGUGCACGUACAAGGCAGAGACCGUCCUCCCCGCCUGCGGGCAACCCCGCCGGCUAUAGGUCAGGAGGUGCUCGCCGUGCGCUACGAGCGGCGAAGCCAGUUGCUGCUCCUGGUCGUCAUUCACCAGCACAACGUACCGGCGGAUCCACACCAUCCGUUCCCCUCCUCCAUCCUCCAGCACGAACACCUGCACACAUAGCUCAUACGAAUCAAAAGAGAAACACAGGCCGUUGUGUUUGCUAGGUUUUCGCCGGAGCACGUACUACACUUACCUCGGUUUUGCUCGUCAUGUGCCUAUAGUUACGGCAGACGGUGAAGCCCAGCCUCCCGCCGCCCACGUCCACCAGGCGGCACGUGUAGCACAGCCACGGCAGCAACGGCAUGGGCACCGGCAGCUCCGCGACGACCACGGCGCGCUCGUCGCCAAGGUCGAACGACACUACCCGCUUGGCGUCCUUGGUGACCCAGUACGCGACGCCGAGGACGGCGACGAGGCCGAACCCGUACCUGCAGCUCGACCCGGGCGCCGGCACCUCACGCCACGACGCCGCCGCCGCCUCCCCCAGCGUGAGCACGUGGACCGCGUCGAACGCCUCGCUGGGGUGGCGCGGGACGUGCAGGAUCUUGUACAGCCCCGUCGCCGGGUGGUACCCGAAGCAGAAGGCGCUCGCGGCCUCGUCGCGGCGCGAGCCUCCGGGCCGAGCAACUGGCGGCGGCGGGUCCACGGCCAGCUCCUCGCCGGUGACGGGGUUGAACAUCACGAUGCCGCCACCGCGCCCGCGGCACAGGCAGAUUAGGCCGUUGCACGUGCCGAUCACUCGCAUGCCUUCAUGGGUUUCCUCAUGCAGGAGCCAGCGCCGCCGUAACUGCGCCGUAGCCGCUCCGGGGAGCUCCAGCUCCCUGCUGCGGCCUUCGAUCAGGUCGUCGUCCAGGACGUAGGCGCGGGGGCGGCGAGAAGAGCCGCCUUUAUCGGUGGCGUAUGCGAGGACCUUGGCACGGGCGUGUCGUGGCGCUGGCAUGCGCUCGUCGAUGACGUCGCGCCAGUGCCGGCACACGAGGCGGAGCCGCCGCCGUGGGGUCGGCAGGAUACGCCGCAAGAUCCCAACCAAGGUGUCCGAAGGGAUCGCACCCCAGCCGCCCUCGUCUAUUGCGGCUCCAGCUUCUUCCCUCGGCGUCGGUGAUCGCGUGAAAUCGUUCCUUGUAUAGUCGCUGGACUCGAGUUUUAUUUUACUUGUGCUUUGUUGAACUGUGUUAUAAAAUUCAUUCAUCUGGAUCCGUAUGAUUUUGUCCUUUCAGAGUUGUAGUUCCAUUCCAUUUGUUGUGUCCCCGGUUUUGAUCGAACUCCCUUCGUCAUCAGAUUGUUUUGACUUUAGACCAAGCUUUCCCCUUUUGUACUGUCCACUGUGCAAAUAGACAAAGAGUUUUACUCAAUUGAUUGAGAUCUUACUUAUCUAUCGGUCACCCAAAUUUGUACUAGAAAUAGAAAUUGAAUGGAGAUAGGAUUGGGGGUUAGAGCAACUCCAACUCUAAAAGCUCCCUUAAAUUACCCCUAAUACCUUAAUUAGGGAGGAAAAAAAAGGGAAAAAGAGCUCUCCAACAGCUCCCCAAAACUGACGCAAAUAUUGGCCGAGCCGAAUCGGGACUCCGUCGCCCUGCGUAUUUCGCGAUUUCUCUCCUUCCCCGAUAGUGAUCCCUGUGCUUCCUUUCCCGCGCUUUCCCGCGCGCCAGAAUCUGGCGUUGGAGCUCGACGGAGGAGACAGCGACGUGGUCGCCGGCGCCGCGCGCCGCUGCAGCGCGGCCUCGACCACAGCGCCGGUGCCCAGCACCUCGCCGCCGCCCAUGGCGAGCAUGAGCAUCGCGGCCGUGUACG
rnacentral:lncRNA from 1 species